rnacentral:misc_RNA from 1 species
UGUAGGUAUCGUGUUCAUCUUUUGUCUGCUCAGUGCUUUUGCUUCUUCGUUUAAUCUUUGCUUCUUGCUCGAAUUCUGCAUCUUCCGAUUCUGAAGGGAACAACGGAAAAAUAAGAACACCCUAAAUUUGACCAAAUAUGGACAUGAAGGAACAGAGGAUGGAUUUUAAGUCGAUAAUGAAGGAGGCUGAAUUUCUGGGCUCCGCGCAUAUGACAUGGAAGGAAAAAAAGGAGUUGGAGAACAAGAGAGUAGUUGCGCUUGGUGGGAAGCCUCAGAAGAAACAGAGAUUACCACUUAGUGUAGCACGAGUAAUGAUGAAGAAACAGAAGGAAAGGGAGGAGAAAAUGCAAGAAGAGAAUUUGGUACUUGGACGAUUCGGGGGAGCUAGUAGUUCAAGAAAAGCAGCAGGAAGGCGCAGACCAGAGGAUAGGGUGCUGAAAUCAACUGAAGGUAACUUCAGAAACGGUGUGCUUGAUGUUAAACAGUUACUAAAACCUUCUGCGCCUAAAGCAUCAUUUGAUGAUGGGAAGAAGCCUUUUUCUUCGGGUAAAGGGAAGAAGAAGAAAAAGGGCGGUAAAAAGAACAAGGGUAA